AUGCGCGUGCUGUGGUCUGUGCCUGUCGGCUACAAGUUCUUGGUGAUAAAGGAGGGUCCUUGUGAUUCUGAGGUACAAGUAUGUAGAUCAUGCCUGUCAGUGGUUGGGUUUCAGGCAUUUCGUCUGCAAGAUCGUGAUGAACUACCAAACAACUUUCCUGGAAACAGCAAGCUGCAAUCAGCCUCGCCUCUGCAACACUUGCUUUUAAUUCUGCAUCUUCAGUUAGUUCCACAGAUUAAUUGUGGGGAAAACAACUUGAACCACAGAAUGAACAUCAACCAAUCAUCUUUCUCAUGUACAUUACGGUGCACUGACUUGUGUUUGCGAUGUCAUGUCCAUAUGUAA
rnacentral:rRNA from 1 species